rnacentral:tRNA from 1 species
UCCCUGGUGGUCCAGUGGUUAAGACUCCAUGCUCCUAAUGCAGAGGGCCCAGGUUCAAUCCCUGGCUAGAGAA